rnacentral:tRNA from 1 species
GCGGGGAUGGCCCAGCCUGGCACGGCGCGGGAUUGCUAAUCCCGUGGUUUUUUGACCUCGAGGGUUCAAAUCCCUCUCCCCGCG